GGUCCUGUGGUGUAUUAACAUAUUAGAUUGCAAAUCUAGGGUUGCAGGUUAGAGGCCUGCCGGGGCUU
rnacentral:tRNA from 1 species